rnacentral:rRNA from 1 species
UACGGGGGGGGGCAAGCGUUGUUCGGAAUUACUGGGCGUAAAGGGCGCGUAGGCGGCUCAUGAAGGCUGUGGUGAAAGUCCGGGGCUCAACCUCGGAUCGGCCGUGGCGACUCGUGGGCUGGAGCACUGUAGAGGCAGGUGGAAUUCCGGGUGUAGCGGUGGAAUGCGUAGAUAUCAGGAGGAACACCGAUGGCGAAGGCAGGUCUCUGGGCAUUAACUGACGCUGAGGAGCGAAAGCAUGGGGAGCGAACAGG